rnacentral:lncRNA from 1 species
CUCACUCGAGCCGUUACUUUCUUCCUUCACCAUUCCUCUCUAACAACCUCUCCGCCCUCUGAAACUCUCAUCAAUCAAGAAGCAUUGCUGAAAAUAAUAGAGCUGCUUGAGCAAGCUGAAUUAGAAGAUUGGCUUCAUGGUUUUUCUUUUUCCUUUUUCUUGGUUCAAUAAAAGCAAAUUCAAAGGUGAGCAUGCCAAUAUUUUCUUGUUCUUGCAGGUCAAUUUCGAUUACGUUGUUUACAAAUCCUCCUUGAUGGGCAUCAAGUGGAAAAUUCUUGCCUUCAGUUUCUCGUAAUCUGUUUCCUUACCCCACUCU